GAGUAGAAGAAUGAUCAGAAGCAAUAUAGCAGGUAAAAGAGAACCAUUACCAACAGUAAUAAGAGGAAGAGAUGAACGAGAAGAGAUGGACUCAAGUUUGGGAUAGUAAGAUGAUCAGUGGUGCCGGUGUCCAUGUACCAAACAGUGUCAGAUGCAUCACAGAGCGUCAUGGUGUUGAACGCAUUUGCGAGAGUGGUGGGUAUGAAUUUCAGAAUUUGGAGCUUGCAGAGCUUGCAAAGUUUGCGGAAUAGUGGAAUUGUGGGUCGUGAGAUACGCGGAUCCGGCUAGUGAUGGUGUGUGACCAAGAAUUCCAGUUGUUAACUUGCCAAUUAGAGUUGUUCCAACCUUCUUUGUUGUUUCUUCCACAACGACCAUUGCAACCACCUCGAUUUCUGCAACCACCUUGAUUGUAUUGAAACUGAUUCUGAAAUGAGAAAGAGCGAUCAUCAAAUUGGGAUGGAGAUGAAGCUAUGAGAACUUCAGACGAUGAUGCUUGUUCUGUGUGAGAAAAUUGAGUUUGAUGUUUUAUCUUCAACCAAUCUUCUUCAUCUUUGAAGAUAGAGCGAGAUGUGUUGAAUGAGCAAUGAGGAGAUCGAUGUUUGAUAACAAUGAUUAUGUUAUCAAAUUUGAGACGUCGACCAUUGAGGAGAUGUAUAACAAGGACACGGUCAGAGAUUUGAGAGUUCACACUUGCAAGGAGAUCGGUUAUUGAUUUCAGUUUUUGACAAUAGGCACGGACUGAGAGAUCUCCAAUUUGGAGAGUUCAGAUCUCAUUCUCAAGUUGGAUUGCACGGAUUUCGUUGUUGUCUCUGAAGAAAUUUUUAAUGGUAGUCCAAAGCUCUUGUGCAGUACAAUGGCUUGGUUUUGAGGACAAAUUUGAGCAGAGAUCCAGAGAGAGUGUUGUAUAUAUACAUCUUGACGGUACUGUCGAUUUGAGACCAUUGCUUGUCGAUCGGAC
rnacentral:lncRNA from 1 species